rnacentral:lncRNA from 12 species
AUGCGUGCUCUCUCUCUCUCUCUGUCUCUCUCUCUCUCUCUCUCACACACACACAUACACACACACACACACACACACACACACACACAUUCUCUCUCCUGCUGUUCCAGGAACACUGGGCUUCUCCCAUCUUGGGAGCCAAGCCAUGGGACUGGCCAAGGAGUGAGGCUGCUCCUGUCCUUUUGUCCUUGCACCUGUGACAGGAUGGAUCUCACCUGGAUGGUGGAACCAGCCCCUUUCACAGGGCUUAUUUCUCCAGGACUGGGAUCGCCGGGUCAUAGCUUUAGCAGAUCCUAACGGAACGGCCGUACUGAUUAAUUGCUUGCAAAAGCAAAACAACCACGGGAGGACAAAGCACAGCUGCCUAAGGGCAUGACCCAUGGAGUCUGCAAACAGAUGAGCACGAAGCCCGGACCGGAGAGCAUCUUCUCCGCCGGCUCUGGGCCCAGCCCCCCGGGAGUGAGGCAGCAGAUGAGCAGAAGCGCUCAGGUUUCGUUUUGUGAAAUGAGACAUUCCCACUACACCUGCGCGGGAGGAGAGUCAUCAUCCCCACUUUUCACAUUUCUCAGGUCCUGAUUCCAAAGAUCGCCCCGGGGUGGAGGAGGGAGCAGGUGGUCUUUUUUUUUUUUUUUUAAGAUUUAUUUAUUUAUUCAUGAUAGACAUAGAGAGAGAGACAGAGACAGAGACACAGGCAGAGGGAGAAGCCGGCUCCAUGCAGGGAGCCCGACGUGGGACUCGAUCCCGGGUCUCCAGGAUCGCGCCCUGGGCCAAAGGCAGGUGCCAAACCGCUGAGCCACCCAGGGAUCCCCGAGCAGGUGGUCUUUGAGGAACAUCUUGCAGAGACCAGACCGGGGAUGGGACAGCCGGAGCUUUGGGUGCCCUCGGUGCCCGCUUAGCCUGUGCGCUGCUCCCCUGGGGGGCAAGUGGCCUCCCUUCUCUGCACCUUGGAUGGCUUUGCUUUCCUGUGCAAUGGGAAAGAUGUUGGGGCCAGGUGACACCCUCCCCCCACCGAGGGUGCUAGGAGGACUCGGGAGCCGCUGAGAGAUCCUGGCUCACCCCGGGCACCUACCAGAUGUGCCCGCGGCGGGCGGGGGAGCGGUUUCCACGGGAGACCCCGCGCUUGCAAGAACGCGGCCUUGCCAGCGAUAUUUCAAAUAUGCACUUGGCCUCCCCGCGGCCGUCCGCAUUCCCCUUAUCACUCUCUCGUGGAGGAGUCGGGGCUCCCCGCCAGAGCUCCACUUUCCCGGCUCGCAUCUUACUGCUGCCAGCACGGCCUCCGCCCUGGCCUCCGCGGAGGCCCCUGGAACUGUUUCCAGGGGCCGGUUGCAUAAACUCCGUGUUACGUAAGUCCUGAGUUGAAUUUUGGAAAACUGUAUUUUUUUUUCUCCCCUCCACAAGAUUUUCCAGUGUCACCCAAACACCCAGCUGCAGGCGGGGGGGCGGGGGGGGUGGUGGUUGUUUACGCGCCUCGGUCAGAACAGUGUGUUUGGAGGCCGGGGUGAGAUCUGUGUGAGUGCUUUCGAUUGUGGAAAAACAAAUGUGAUUUGAGAGAAAAGAGAAAAAAAAAAAAAAAGAAGAAGAGGAAAAAUGAAACAGAAAACAACUGCUCACAGAGCUGGAACUUUGAGGCACGGCCCGGCUGGAUGAUUUCUGACCACCUGAGGAUGAAUGUUCCGGAAUAUUCUAGGAAGCUCCUGGUGCUCCCCGCAGGCUGACAGCUCGUGCCCCUCCCCCCUCCCCCACCACAUCACUGGGGCCACUCUGGACGUGCGGUGGAAGACAAACGGCUUCUUCUUUUCCCGGGGUUGCAGGCAUGUGUCCCCAGGCACUUAAAAAUAGCCACACGUUUAUUGCAGACCUGAGUCUAACAAUCAGGUUUUUCUUAAGGCGUUAAAAACUUUUCCACCAAAAGGGCAGUUUUUGGAAAUAUGUCUAGUAUGGAGGAUUUUUUUUCCUUUUUUUUUUUUCUUCCCAGGAGUAGAUGUAAAGGUCUUGAGUUUGAAAUGGCCAGUCAGCUCGGAGCGUGUGUUUGGGGGUGAGGGGGCUGCAGGGCCAAGGAGGGGGAGAGAAGACGAACAUGGAUUGAAGACCUACUGUGUGCGAGGCCCUGUGUGGAGCCCCUGGGGCCCUGGGACUCGGACAGCAGUGCUUACACCAUGUCAUAGUGAGGUGGGGAAAGGGGUCAUGACUGAUCCUCAGCUGGGCCAGGAGCUCGACUGCCUGAUAUUUUUUUUUUAAGAUUUUAUUUUUAUUUAUUUUAUUUAUGAUAGUGAGAGAGAGAGAGAGAGGCAGAGACCCAGGCAGAGGGAGAAGCAGGCUCCAUGCUGGGAGCCCGAUGCGGGACUUGAUCCGGGACCCCAGGAUCGGGCCCUGGGCGGAAGGCAGGCCCCAAACCGCUGAGCCAGCCAGGGAUCCCCUCGACUGCCUGAUUUUGAAGGCUCUGGUCCUCAUGCAGUUUUGUUUCCCUGUGUGAGCCUCAGAGGGUCCGCGGAACCCCUGAAACAGAAGUUGUCAGCAUCCUUAUCUACACGAACAUGUCUACAACAUUCAUCACAUGGGGGCCCGGGACAUUAGGAAAGGACAAAACCAUUGCCCCAACAAGGAUUUGUAGAGAGCCAUGGCCUAGAGCUUGGUCAGGUUGCGUCUGCUUUCCAAGCCUCUGUUUUGUCAGAUGAGAAGUGGGUACGUGCUGGAUACGUGUCGCUGUGUCCCUCCCCACACUCCGCCACAUGUUGAAGCAUCCAGGGGUAAAGAGGCCCGCCGUCGUGGUGCAAGCCUGUGAGGAGACCACCUUGGUCUCUGUGGGAGAAGUUCAGGGUGACGAUAUGACUUCCCAGGGCUUGAGGCACAUUUGCUUCUGUGUUCGGUUUCUGCCCAGCUUUGAGAACAACUGUCACGAAAAUAUUAGGGUGCCAGAUUUAGCAGAGAGAACAUGGGAUGGCCAGUUAGGUUUGAAUUUCAGCAAGGCCUGGGUGGCUCAGAGGUUGAGCAUCUGCCUUUGGCUCAGGGUGUGAUCCCAGGGUCCUGGGAUCGAGUCCUGCAUCAGGCUCCCCACAGGGAGCUUGCUUCUCCCUCUGCCUGUCUCUGCCUCUCUCUGUGUCUCCCAUGAAUAAAUAAAUAAAAUCUUAAAUAGUUUGAAUUUCA